rnacentral:rRNA from 1 species
UGGGGAAUAUUGGGCAAUGGGGGAAACCCUGACCCAGCAACGCCGCGUGAGGGAAGAAGGUUUUCGGAUUGUAAACCUCUGUCCUAAGAGAAGAGGGGAAGACGGUAUCUUAGGAGGAAGCCCCGGCUAACUACGUGCCAGCAGCCGCGGUAAUACGUAGGGGGCGAGCGUUGUUCGGAAUCAUUGGGCGUAAAGGGUGCGCAGGUGGCCUUUCAAGUCUGGCGUUAAAGUUCGGGGCUCAACUCCGUGAUGCGCUGGAAACUGGAGGGCUAGAGUACAGCAGGGGGCAUCGGAAGGUUCCAGGUGUAGGGGUGAAAUCUGUAGAUAUCUGGAAGAACACCGGUGGCGAAGGCGGAUGCCUGGGCAUGUACUGACACUGAGGCACGAAGGUGCGGGGAGCAAACAGGUUUAGAUACCCUGGUAGU